rnacentral:lncRNA from 1 species
UUAUAGUCAACCUAAGGCCCAAGCCCAUUCUUUCCUUCACCCUAAUUUAAUCACACUCCCACCACACACACACAUCUCACGCAGCUCACCCUCUCUCAACCCUCCUCCCUCUCCUCUUCUCGGCCUCCUGCCGCUGCCACCAGACGGCACGCCGCCGCCGGAGGCCGGCGGCUCUGCCUCCUCUCUCCUUCCCUUCGACCCUCUCUGUCUUCCCUCAGCUCUUGUCUCCCUCUCACUUUCCCUCCCUUCUCGCCCUUCUCCCUCAUCUCUCUUCCUCCUCC